rnacentral:rRNA from 1 species
AUUGAACGCUGGCGGCAGGCCUAACACAUGCAAGUCGAGCGAGCGGCGGACGGGUGAGUCAUGUAUGGGGACUGCCCGAUAGAGGGGGAUAACUACUGGAAACGGUGGCUAAUACCGCAUACUAUCGGAUAAUCAAUAUGGGAUUAGCUAUUAGGUAAGGUAAUGGCUUACCUAGGCGACGAUCCCUAGAUGGUCUUAGUGGGUGAUCAGACAGAAGGGGACUGAGACAAGGCUCAGACUCCUACGGAGGGAGCAGUGGGGAAUAUUGCACAAUGGGCGCAAGCCUGAUGCAGCCAUGCAGGGUGUAUGAAGAAGGCCCUAGGGUUGUAAAGUACUUGCAGUCGGGAGGCGUUACCGACAGAAGAAGCACCGGCUAACUCCGUGCCAGCAGCCGCGGUAAUAG